rnacentral:lncRNA from 1 species
UUUUUUUUUUUUACAUGAAUUGGUUUUUAUGCAUAAAAUACAUACAUACUGAUAUUCUUAAAAAUGAAGAAUGACUGGUCAAACAGGCGUUUUAUAAUUAACACAACUAUCCAAUGUACAAUCAGCCAAUAUUUGAGCAAUGCAUUAUAAUAAAUUAAAACAAUGGGGUAAGCAAUUGAUAUUACUGGCAGUCAAAACAAAAAGUAAAUUUCAUGUGAUGUGAAGUACAACUUUGAAAUAUCCUACUGAUUUGCCCUCCCCUUUUUGUUAUCAUUCACUCAAUGAUCAAAAUCAAUAUGAAUGUUUGCCUUUAGCUCAGGGUUUCUGUUAUAACCAUUAUCAGGAAUGCUCAAAAUAUAAAAUAUGGAUAAAAUUCUAAUGUGCAUUAAAUUAAGUAUACAAUAUUUGUUUUACAUUCCAAACACUACCACUUUUAAGACUUUUUUGUGAAGAAGUAAAUGGUGUGUAACAACGGUAUAAAACUGAACCAAAUAUUUGAAAAUGCGUGCAUCUCCUUAUGCUACACUUUUUCUUUCCUUUUUCUAUAGUCCUGAAUGUGUCUGUAAUAGUUUUCCAAGGAUAUUGUUAAAAAAAUACACAUUCAUUCCUUUUUCUACCACAUGUCACAUUUCAAUUCUAAUUUUUUCAUCAAAUAUAACUUUUCAAGCCUUCCCCAUAAAUCUUUUUGAUAUUUUUAUAUAAUUUUAACUGCCUGUAAUAUCACAUUUCAGUAUUAUAAAGGACAUGUAAUCAUAUCCCAGUAAAUACAAUAUCUAAACAACUUCCCUUCUAAAAAAUCAUUAAAAUCAUACAACCAAGAUUGCUGAUACAUUUUUCAUAUACAUAUACAAAACCUGUUUAUAAAUGAUUAUGUACAGACAUGUUAUUGCAACCAGUCAUAUUAUGUUUUCAGAAAAAAAGCUUAAAAAACUUAUACCUAUAUUCUAAUCUAUGACUAUUCUUGGUAUGAAAAAAAGUAUCUGCAACCAUAUCCUGAUUUCAGCUAGCUGUAUUUAAGUAUGCACACAACACAUCAUUUUCACUUUGUUUUGUAAAGACCAUUUAAUGAUUUUCGUGAAAUCUAAAAAGAAAUGGUAUCAAAAUAUUUAAUUCUAAAUUUUAAGUUGUCUUAAAUAUAGUUUACAAGUCUUUAAAGUCUGUAUCUUAAGUUUGCUGCUAACUUGCACAUGAUAAGUAAAAACACAAAAAAUAAUGUGUAUUGAUAUGAUACAUGGGUGAUGGAUUACAAGGUUUGUCUUAUUCUCCUAAUUUUUUUUUUAAACUGACUAAACGCAGUAAAUUCUAUGGUCCAGGAGUUUAUUAUGAAAAGCAAUCUGGAUAAUGCAUCAGAAUUACUGCAAGUUGUUUAAAUUACAGAUAAUUUUUUACAAUCUUAGCCAAAAGAAUACAACUUCAGAAAAUAAGUAUGCUAAAAAAAAUGCACAGAUGCUAACAAUUUCAGAUUAAUAAUUUCAUCUUGUAUUUUAUAUGCUACAAUCGUUGAAUACACAAAAUUGCCAUUUAUUUCUGAACACUAUUAACAUCUUAAAAUGCAAUUUGUAGGUAUUUGACAGAAAUAUUUCACAAUUUCUAAGAGGUUUCCUCCAAGCAAAUCAUGACAUUAAAAAAGUGGAAAUAUAAAUUUCAAGACCAUUUCUCAACUCUUACUUUUAAUCACAUUUUGAAAACCAUUAGGUGGAUAUGAGUAUAAUAUAGAACCAAAUUAGUUCUUGACCCAAUUUUUGCAUUACUUUUCAGUUAAAUAAAUGUUAUAAAAUUGAUGGCACUACAUUAUCAAGAUAUGAACAUUCAAGAAAAUAAUACCCCUUAUGUCCCAUUAUCUCUAGAAAGUUAUUUUAGUAUACAAAAAAUAUAUAUAAAUGCUCAGCAAGUAUACCAACCAAAUCAAAAAACAUCACUGCCCAAGUUGCACAUUUUCAACAACAAAAUUUCAAACAACCUUCCCUCGACAUUAAGCCACCCAAAUUUAACUGCAAUUUGAACGUAAAUACACUUUAUUAGCACCUUGAUUACCAGUAUUUGCAAGUAAGCUCAUAGGACUAGAUUAUAAGAAGAUAUGCAUGUAUGCAAACACAAAACAUGUUUCAUGUAUGUAUCAAUAUUCUGUCAAUCAAAUUGUUUUCUAUAUAAACAAUUUGAGUUUUUUUUAGUUUUUUAAUAAUUUUUAGUUUAAAAUAUAUUUGUUAUUUUUAUCAUUACAUGGAUUUUUGAAGAC